rnacentral:misc_RNA from 1 species
AACUUUUAACAACGGAUCUCGCGGCGAGAAUGGCCAAGGGAGUGCCGCAAGCAAACGGGGAAAUCGCGGUCGAGCCCUUGAUGGAUGUCGGGCACGUCGCCAGCGCCGUGACCUACAUGGCGAGCCUGCCGCUGGAUGCGAACGUACAGUUCAUGACCGUCAUGGCCACCAAGAUGCCUUUUGUCGGUCGCGGCUGAUAACGCAAGCGAUGCUAAUAGCUAGCGUAGCCCGGAUGAAGCGCAGCGUCCCCCAAGGGGACAUUCCCGCAAGGGGAUUUGCUUCGCGGCACCUGCGGGGCACAAUCCGGGGUGGAGUGUCCUGAAAUUGUUCCCGGAUUGCGGCGCGAUGCGCCUUCAUCCGGGCUACGCCUUGCCGACCCCUUACUUAAGCAUAUCAAUAAGCGGAGGCU